rnacentral:rRNA from 1 species
AUUGAACGCUGGCGGCAUGCUUUACACAUGCAAGUCGAACGGUAACAGGCCUUCGGGCGCUGACGAGUGGCGAACGGGUGAGUAAUGCAUCGGAACGUGCCCAGUCGUGGGGGAUAACUAUCCGAAAGGAUAGCUAAUACCGCAUACGAUCUGCGGAUGAAAGCGGGGGACCUUCGGGCCUCGCGCGAUUGGAGCGGCCGAUGUCAGAUUAGGUAGUUGGUGGGGUAAAGGCUCACCAAGCCAACGAUCUGUAGCUGGUCUGAGAGGACGACCAGCCACACUGGGACUGAGACACGGCCCAGACUCCUACGGGAGGCAGCAGUGGGGAAUUUUGGACAAUGGGCGCAAGCCUGAUCCAGCAAUGCCGCGUGCAGGAAGAAGGCCUUCGGGUUGUAAACUGCUUUUGUACGGAACGAAACGGCUCUGGUUAAUACCCGGGGCUAAUGACGGUACCGUAAGAAUAAGCACCGGCUAACUCUGUGCCAGCCGCCGCAGUAAAAC